UUCCUGGUGGCUCACAUGGUAAAGAAUCUGCCUGCAAUGCAGGAGACCCAGGUUCAAUCCCUGACUUGGAAA
rfam:TPA: Bos taurus chromosome X, whole genome shotgun sequence.